rnacentral:rRNA from 1 species
CACGUAGGGGGCGAGCGUUGUCCGGAUUCAUUGGGCGUAAAGGGCUCGUAGGCGGCUCGGUAAGUCAGGUGUGAAAACUCUAGGCUCAACCUAGAGACGCCACCUGAUACUGCUGUGGCUAGAGUCCGGCAGGGGAGCAUGGAAUUCCUGGUGUAGCGGUGAAAUGCGCAGAUAUCAGGAGGAACACCAGUGGCGAAGGCGGUGCUCUGGGCCGGAACUGACGCUGAUGAGCGAAAGCGUGGGGGAGCAAACAGG